UAGUCAUUAUUAAGGCUUUUUAGAAUGUGGUUUCUCAUUUGCUAUGGUCAUGGCUGAGGGACGACGGGUAUUUGAAUCCUGUUAGGCAGUGAGAAAAAGGU
rnacentral:snoRNA from 1 species